rnacentral:rRNA from 1 species
UACGUAGGGGGCAAGCGUUGUCCGGAAUCAUUGGGCGUAAAGCGCGUGUAGGCGGCCCGGUAAGUCUGCUGUGAAAGUCCAGGGCUCAACCCUGGGAUGCCGGUGGAUACUGUCGGGCUCGAGUCCGGAAGAGGAGUGUGGAAUUCCUGGUGUAGCGGUGAAAUGCGCAGAUAUCAGGAGGAACACCAAUGGCGAAGGCAGCACUCUGGGACGUGACUGACGCUGAGACGCGAAAGCGUGGGGAGCAAACAGG